rfam:Podospora anserina genomic DNA, chromosome 5.
GUCGCUUUGGCGGAGUGGUUAACGCGCGGCCCUGCUAUCCCUCAGCAUAGGCCGUUUCUUCGGAAGCGUAGGUUCGAAUCCUGCAGGCGACG